AGCAGCCGCGGUAAUUCCAGCUCCAAUAGCGUAUAUUAAAGUUGUUGCAGUUAAAAAGCUCGUAGUUGAAUUUCGGGAUCAAUAUAUCGGUCGUGCCUUGGUACGUACUGGUAUCAUUGGUUUCUCCUUUCUGACGAACCAUGAUGUCAUUAAUUUGGUGUUAUGGGAAGUUAGGACUGUUACUUCGAAAAAAUUAGAGUGUUUAAAGCAGGCUUUAGCUUGAAUACAUUAGCAUGGAAUAAUGAAAUAGGACGUUCGAACCUAUUUUGUGGUUUCUAGGAUCAACGUAAUGAUUAAUAGGGAUAGUUGGGGGCAUUAGUAUUCAAUUGUCAGAGGUGAAAUUCUUGGAUUUAUUGAAGACUAACUACUGCGAAAGCAUUUGCCAAGGAUGUUUUCAUUAAUCAAGAACGAAAGUUAGGGGAUCGAAGACGAUCAGAUACCGUCGUAGUCUUAACCAUAAACUAUGCCGACUAGGGAUCGGAUGAUGUUAAUUUUUUAAUGUACUCAUUCGGCGCCUUAC
rnacentral:rRNA from 1 species